rnacentral:rRNA from 1 species
UACGUAGGGUGCGAGCGUUGUCCGGAAUUAUUGGGCGUAAAGAGCUUGUAGGCGGUCUGUCGCGUCUGCUGUGAAAAUCCGGGGCUCAACCCCGGACUUGCAGUGGGUACGGGCAGACUAGAGUGUGGUAGGGGAGACUGGAAUUCCUGGUGUAGCGGUGAAAUGCGUAGAUAUCGUUUGGAACGCCAAUGGUGAAAACAGGUUGCUGGAAGUGUGCUGACGCUGAGACACGAAAGCCAGGGGAGCAAACGGG